GACGGAGGAUGCAAGCGUUAUCCGGAAUUAUUGGGCGUAAAGGGUACGUAGGCGGCUGGUCAAGUCUGGGGUCAAAGGCCACAGCUCAACUGUGGGAAGGCCCUGGAAACUGACCGGCUAGAGUGAGGUAGGGGUUGCGGGAAUUCCCGGUGUAGCGGUGAAAUGCGUAGAGAUCGGGAAGAACACCUGAGGCGGAAGCGCGCAACUGGGCUGCAACUGACGCUGAGGUACGAAAGCUAGGGGAGCGAAUGGG
rnacentral:rRNA from 1 species